rnacentral:rRNA from 1 species
GACGAACGCUGGCGGCGUGCUUAACACAUGCAAGUCGUACGGUAAGGCCCUUUCGGGGGUCCACGAGUGGCGAACGGGUGAGUAACACGUGAGUAACCUGCCCACAACUUUGGGAUAACGCUAGGAAACUGGUGCUAAUACUGGAUAUGUGCUCCUGCUGCAUGGUGGGGGUUGGAAAGCUCCGGCGGUUGUGGAUGGACUCGCGGCCUAUCAGCUUGUUGGUGGGGUAGUGGCCUACCAAGGCGGCGACGGGUAGCCGGCCUGAGAGGGUGACCGGCCACAUUGGGACUGAGAUACGGCCCAGACUCCUACGGGAGGCAGCAGUGGGGAAUAUUGCACAAUGGGCGCAAGCCUGAUGCAGCAACGCCGCGUGCGGGAUGACGGCCUUCGGGUUGUAAACCGCUUUCAGCAGGGCGAAGCUUUUUGUGACGGUACCUGCAGAAGAAGCACCGGCUAACUACGUG